UCUUCCCAUUCCGAACAGAGAAGUUAAGCUUCGUCACGCCGAUGGUACUGCGUAACAGUGGGAGAGUAGGUAGCCGCCGUUU
rnacentral:rRNA from 2 species